rnacentral:rRNA from 1 species
UGGGGAAUUUUGGACAAUGGGCGAAAGCCUGAUCCAGCAAUGCCGCGUGUGUGAAGAAGGCCUUCGGGUUGUAAAGCACUUUUGUCCGGAAAGAAAUCCUUGGCUCUAAUACAGUCGGGGGAUGACGGUACCGGAAGAAUAAGCACCGGCUAACUACGUGCCAGCAGCCGCGGUAAUACGUAGGGUGCAAGCGUUAAUCGGAAUUACUGGGCGUAAAGCGUGCGCAGGCGGUUUGCUAAGACCGAUGUGAGAUCCCCGGGCUCAACCUGGGAACUGCAUUGGUGACUGGCAGGCUAGAGUAUGGCAGAGGGGGGUAGAAUUCCACUGUAGCAGUGAAAUGCGUAGAGAUGUGGAGGAAUACCGAUGGCGAAGGCAGCCCCCUGGGGCCAAUACUGACGCUCAUGCACGAAAGCGUGGGGAGCAAACAGGAUUAGAUACCCUGGUAGUCCACGCCCUAAACGAUGUCAACUAGUUGUUGGGGAUUCAUUUCCUUAGUAACGUAGCUAACGCGUGAAGUUGACCGCCUGGGGAGUACGGUCGCAAGAUUAAAACUCAAAUGAAUUGACGGGGUCAUAGCU